UUACGUGGGGGCGAUCUGGCUGCAACAUCUGUCACCCCAUUGAUCGCCAGGGUUGAUUCGGCUGAUCUGGCUGGCUAGGCGGGUGUCCCCUUCCUCCCUCACUGCUCCAUGUGCGUCCCUCUCGAAGCUGCUUGGUCGAAGAGGACGACCUUCCCCGAAUAGAGGAGGACUGGUCUUCAUCAAGGGUAUAUGAGUAGCUGCAGUCCCCUGCUAGAACCUCCAAACAAGCUCAAGGUCCAUUUGUUAUUGAUUUUUAAAAGUAAUUUAAGUUUUUGUAAUAAGUUUUAUUUGAAAUAGACUCAUUAUUUUUCUACCUUG
rnacentral:snRNA from 1 species